rnacentral:rRNA from 1 species
GGGUUGUGAGGUUAAGCGACUAAGCGUACACGGUGGAUGCCCUGGCAGUCAGAGGCGAUGAAGGACGUGCUAAUCUGCGAAAAGCGUCGGUAAGGUGAUAUGAACCGUUAUAACCGGCGAUGUCCGAAUGGGGAAACCCAGUGCAAUUCGUUGCACUAUCGUUAACUGAAUACAUAGGUUAACGAGGCGAACCGGGGGAACUGAAACAUCUAAGUACCCCGAGGAAAAGAAAUCAACCGAGAUUCCCCCAGUAGCGGCGAGCGAACGGGGAGCAGCCCAGAGUCUGAAUCAGCUUGUGUGUUAGUGGAACGGUCUGGAAAGUCCGACGGUACAGGGUGAUAGUCCCGUACACCAAAAUGCACAGGCUGUGAACUCGAAGAGUAGGGCGGGACACGUGGUAUCCUGUCUGAAUAUGGGGGGACCAUCCUCCAAGGCUAAAUACUCCUGACUGACCGAUAGUGAACCAGUACCGUGAGGGAAAGGCGAAAAGAACCCCGGCGAGGGGAGUGAAAAAGAACCUGAAACCGUGUACGUACAAGCAGUGGGAGCACCUUCGGGUGUGACUGCGUACCUUUUGUAUAAUGGGUCAGCGACUUAUAUUCUGUAGCAAGGUUAACCGUAUAGGGGAGCCGCAGGGAAACCGAGUCUUAACUGGGCGUUAAGUUGCAGGGUAUAGACCCGAAACCCGGUGAUCUAGCCAUGGGCAGGUUGAAGGUUGGGUAACACUAACUGGAGGACCGAACCGACUAAUGUUGAAAAAUUAGCGGAUGACUUGUGGCUGGGGGUGAAAGGCCAAUCAAACCGGGAGAUAGCUGGUUCUCCCCGAAAGCUAUUUAGGUAGCGCCUCGUGAACUCAUCUUCGGGGGUAGAGCACUGUUUCGGCUAGGGGGUCAUCCCGACUUACCAACCCGAUGCAAACUACGAAUACCGAAGAAUGUUAUCACGGGAGACACACGGCGGGUGCUAACGUCCGUCGUGAAGAGGGAAACAACCCAGACCGCCAGCUAAGGUCCCAAAGUCAUGGUUAAGUGGGAAACGAUGUGGGAAGGCACAGACAGCCAGGAUGUUGGCUUAGAAGCAGCCAUCAUUUAAAGAAAGCGUAAUAGCUCACUGGUCGAGUCGGCCUGCGCGGAAGAUGUAACGGGGCUAAACCAUGCACCGAAGCUGCGGCAGCGACGCUUAUGCGUUGUUGGGUAGGGGAGCGUUCUGUAAGCCUGCGAAGGUGGCCUGUGAGGGCUGCUGGAGGUAUCAGAAGUGCGAAUGCUGACAUAAGUAACGAUAAAGCGGGUGAAAAGCCCGCUCGCCGGAAGACCAAGGGUUCCUGUCCAACGUUAAUCGGGGCAGGGUGAGUCGACCCCUAAGGCGAGGCCGAAAGGCGUAGUCGAUGGGAAACAGGUUAAUAUUCCUGUACUUGGUGUUACUGCGAAGGGGGGACGGAGAAGGCUAUGUUAGCCGGGCGACGGUUGUCCCGGUUUAAGCAUGUAGGCUGGUUAUCCAGGCAAAUCCGGAUAAUCAAGGCUGAGGUGUGAUGACGAGGCACUACGGUGCUGAAGUAACAAAUGCCCUGCUUCCAGGAAAAGCCUCUAAGCAUCAGGUAACAUCAAAUCGUACCCCAAACCGACACAGGUGGUCAGGUAGAGAAUACCAAGGCGCUUGAGAGAACUCGGGUGAAGGAACUAGGCAAAAUGGUGCCGUAACUUCGGGAGAAGGCACGCUGGUGUGUAGGUGAAGUCCCUGCGGAUGGAGCUGAGACCAGUCGAAGAUACCAGCUGGCUGCAACUGUUUAUUAAAAACACAGCACUGUGCAAACACGAAAGUGGACGUAUACGGUGUGACGCCUGCCCGGUGCCGGAAGGUUAAUUGAUGGGGUUAUCCGUAAGGAGAAGCUCUUGAUCGAAGCCCCGGUAAACGGCGGCCGUAACUAUAACGGUCCUAAGGUAGCGAAAUUCCUUGUCGGGUAAGUUCCGACCUGCACGAAUGGCGUAAUGAUGGCCAGGCUGUCUCCACCCGAGACUCAGUGAAAUUGAACUCGCUGUGAAGAUGCAGUGUACCCGCGGCAAGACGGAAAGACCCCGUGAACCUUUACUAUAGCUUGACACUGAACAUUGAGCCUUGAUGUGUAGGAUAGGUGGGAGGCUUUGAAGCGUGGACGCCAGUCUGCGUGGAGCCAACCUUGAAAUACCACCCUUUAAUGUUUGAUGUUCUAACGUUGGCCCCUUACCGGGGUUGCGGACAGUGUCUGGUGGGUAGUUUGACUGGGGCGGUCUCCUCCCAAAGCGUAACGGAGGAGCACGAAGGUUAGCUAAUCCUGGUCGGACAUCAGGAGGUUAGUGCAAUGGCAUAAGCUAGCUUGACUGCGAGCGUGACGGCGCGAGCAGGUGCGAAAGCAGGUCAUAGUGAUCCGGUGGUUCUGAAUGGAAGGGCCAUCGCUCAACGGAUAAAAGGUACUCCGGGGAUAACAGGCUGAUACCGCCCAAGAGUUCAUAUCGACGGCGGUGUUUGGCACCUCGAUGUCGGCUCAUCACAUCCUGGGGCUGAAGUAGGUCCCAAGGGUAUGGCUGUUCGCCAUUUAAAGUGGUACGCGAGCUGGGUUUAGAACGUCGUGAGACAGUUCGGUCCCUAUCUGCCGUGGGCGCUGGAGAAUUGAGGGGGGCUGCUCCUAGUACGAGAGGACCGGAGUGGACGCAUCACUGGUGUUCGGGUUGUCAUGCCAAUGGCACUGCCCGGUAGCUAAAUGCGGAAGAGAUAAGUGCUGAAAGCAUCUAAGCACGAAACUUGCCCCGAGAUGAGUUCUCCCUGAGACUUUAAGUCUCCUGAAGGAACGUUGAAGACGACGACGUUGAUAGGCCGGGUGUGUAAGCGCAGCGAUGCGUUGAGCUAACCGGUACUAAUGAACCGUGAGGCUUAACCUUACAACGCCGAAG